AUUUGUGUUCAGCGAAGUCUCCCGAGUAUAACAAUAUCCCCCAUGUACAGGUUUUAUGGUGUUUUGGAAAGUUACAGGGUCAAUAUAAGGCUUGUCCAAUUCAGUUUGCCAGAUUGGUUUGCUGGGUCUGUGUUGCCUUUUGAAACCACAUGGUAGCCCAGGAAUGUAAAAUAACCCCAUCAUAGCAUACCAUUUUCACAAAUACUGGCCAAAGUUAGCAUUUUUAUUUGUUUUUUUUGCAUUUUU